CAGGGUACCUUUUGACUCUUCUUAGUUCAACCAAAUGAACUAAAAUUUAAAAAUGACAUAACUUUUUAUAAAACUAGUUUAUUUGUUUGAACUAAGAAGUGUCAAAGAAUACCCUG
rfam:Brachypodium distachyon strain Bd21 chromosome 5, whole genome shotgun sequence.